rnacentral:rRNA from 1 species
GAGUUUGAUCAUGGCUCAGGAUGAACGCUAGCGGCAGGCCUAAUACAUGCAAGUCGAACGGUAAAUAUUCAGCAAUGGAUAUGAGAGUGACGUACGGGUGCGUAACACGUAUGCAACCUACCCUUUACAGGAGGAUAGCUCGGGGAAACUCGGAUUAACCCUCCAUAAUAUAACUGGAAGGCAUCUUUUGGUUAUUAAAAUCACGGUGGUAAAGGAUGGGCAUGCGUCUGAUUAGUUAGUUGGCGGUGUAACGGACCACCAAGACGAUGAUCAGUAGGGGAACUGAGAGGUUGAUCCCCCACACUGGCACUGAGAUACGGGCCAGACUCCUACGGGAGGCAGCAGUAGGGAAUAUUGGUCAAUGGAUGGAAGUCUGAACCAGCCAUGCCGCGUGCAGGAAGAAGGCCUUCUGGGUUGUAAACUGCUUUUGCCAGGGGCUAAAAAGCCCAUGCGUGGGAAAUUGAAAGUACCUGGUGAAUAAGCCACGGCUAAACUACGUGCCAGCCGCCGCAGUAAU